CCUCCUUAUACGAUUUAGAACUUAUUUGUUCGUAGUGUCCACACAGAUGAUUGUUAAUUGUAAAGAGAACAACACUUAUUGUUUGGGUCUGUAGCUCAGCUGGUUAGAGCGCACCCCUGAUAAGGGUGAGGUCGGUAGUUCAAAUCUACUCAGACCCACCACUUCUUCUUAAUACUUCGUUGUAAGCUUCGUUGUUUAGUGAACUAAACGGCCUAAACUUACGCCUUGUCUUAAAAAGAAGUCGGUAUACAAACAGUAAGACCAGCAUAUGUGGGGCUAUAGCUCAGCUGGGAGAGCGCCUGCCUUGCACGCAGGAGGUCAGCAGUUCGAUCCUGCUUAGCUCCACCACUUUACUUCUUAAAAAUAAAUAUUCUUUUAUCGGGUAGCACAAUCACCUGAGAAUAGAGUGUGUUUAAUUUUGAGAAGUUUUUGAUUCUCUGCUCUUUUAAAAAUUUGGGAAAAGCCUGAUAAUAAAAAUUCCGUAUGAAUACAUUUGUAUUUUGUUACCANAAGUUUUUCCAAAAGUUAAAAAAAAAAAUGAUAGGCCAGUAUUCCAUUUCCAAGUGGCCCAAAUUUUAAUCCCCUCGGAAUUAAAUUGGGGUAUCCUUACCUUUUAANUUAUUUCAAAUUAUUUAAACCUUUCCUGGGCCGAAAAUUUUAAAACCUUGGUCCCCCG
rnacentral:misc_RNA from 1 species